rnacentral:rRNA from 1 species
CAGCACCUCAAGUGGUCAGGAUGAUUAUUGGGCCUAAAGCAUCCGUAGCCGGCUCUGUAAGUUUUCGGUUAAAUCUGUACGCUCAACGUACAGGCUGCCGGGAAUACUGCAGAGCUAGGGAGUGGGAGAGGUAGACGGUACUCGGUAGGAAGGGGUAAAAUCCUUUGAUCUAUUGAUGACCACCUGUGGCGAAGGCGGUCUACCAGAACACGUCCGACGGUGAGGAUGAAAGCUGGGGGAGCAAACCGGAUUAGAGACCCGAGUAGUCC